rnacentral:piRNA from 1 species
UGAAUGUGGAGUUUAUUUGAGUACAAC